UUUAAUUCGAAGCAACGCGAAGAACCUUACCAGGUCUUGACAUCCCGAUGCUAUUUCUAGAGAUAGAAAGUUACUUCGGUACAUCGGUGACAGGUGGUGCAUGGUUGUCGUCAGCUCGUGUCGUGAGAUGUUGGGUUAAGUCCCGCAACGAGCGCAACCCCUAUUGUUAGUUGCCAUCAUUCAGUUGGGCACUCUAGCGAGACUGCCGGUAAUAAACCGGAGGAAGGUGGGGAUGACGUCAAAUCAUCAUGCCCCUUAUGACCUGGGCUACACACGUGCUACAAUGGUUGGUACAACGAGUUGCGAGUCGGUGACGGCGAGCUAAUCUCUUAAAGCCAAUCUCAGUUCGGAUUGUAGGCUGCAACUCGCCUACAUGAAGUCGGAAUCGCUAGUAAUCGCGGAUCAGCACGCCGCGGUGAAUACGUUCCCGGGCCUU
rnacentral:rRNA from 1 species